ACUGGCUUGUGGGAGACUGACCUUGAAUUCUAUCUCUUAUUUUCAAAGGGAUUUCUGUUUUCCAUUCCAUUCGACAACUGUGAGCUGCACCUCAGUGAACUCUUUAAACAGAAUAUCAAUAAAGAUGCUUUGCUUUGCAUUUGUAAGCCACACAGAAGCUACUCUUCUGUUAUCUCUCACCUUCCAACUCUUCUAAGUAUGCUUGGCAUCAGCAACAAAGCUAAGGCAGCUGAUACAAAUCAAAGAAGCAAUUAAAUGGAAAAGUUUCUUUUCCCUCUCGUCCUUACUGGAUAAGGUAUUUUAGACAUAGUGAAAAUAAUCUCUUGGGUGCUGAGGUAAAGCAAGAUGCUUCCUGGAAAUCCUAUGCUCGAAAUCCGUAACGGAUAGAGAAACUCAGAGAUAUGUGGAAUUUUUUGAAAGCUUAGUGAGAGUAAAUUUAUGGUCUUUUUCUUUUCUGAAAACAGAGGGAUAGAUAUAUACAUAAUUUAAAUAAAAUAAAAUCUAAAAAUAUACAAGAUUAAAUACACUAGUGUAUGGCACUGCUUGACAGUAGUAUACUAAUAAGACUAAUGUUAUAGCUAACCACACAAAAUAAUACAUACGCGGAUUUCUUUUUUCUACAUAAUUUCAGGUCAAUGAAGAAAUCGCCCCAAAAUUUAGAUGAAGAGUGUUUGCUCUAAGCAAACCUGUGAAGUUGUAGUGAUUACCCAUUUAUGGAUGAUUAUACUCAAGCUCAAAGAAAUUCAGCAAGUUGACCAAUGUCCACAGUCUGCCAUUGGUGGGUGUCAAGACAUAUUCAGUAAUUUUUGAUUCAACUGUUCAACUGGAUGAAGCCUAAAAAAAGGAGACAGUACAAAUCGUGAAAGUCAGAAGAUUUCACCUAGGAACCUGGAUUUGUGUAUCAGUUAUCUACUACCAUGAUAAUGCUGCAGAGCAAACAACCACAAAGCUUUGGUGGCAUGCAAAAAUGACUCUGCGUACUUCUCCAAGAACUUCUUCAAGCUUGCAUUUCCUCAAAAUUCUCAAUACCUACCACAAAACAUAUCUAAUUUUACUGUUAUCCAGACAGAGAAAGAUAUGUUUCUUGGUGCUCUUCAAGACUAUUUUUUCAUUUCUUCUUCCUAUCCCUUUCAGGGCCUCACUCUACUCUUCUCAGGCAUUCUUUUGAAUAAGUUUGAGUAUGUAUAUAUGUGUAGGCAUAUUAUGCCUACAUAUCUAUAUACAAUUUCCUUUUACCAUCAUUAUUGCUACGGAUGAUUUGCAUUUUUUGUGGGAUAGAGAGGAAAACAAUUAGGGAAAGAGAAUUUACUGAGGGGAAGUUUAAAUGGGUUAAAGAGGUAGGUCCUUAGAAUGCUAGCCUACCUUCCUGUCUCAGUUUUCUCAUCUCUGUAAUGGUAUGAUAGCUUGUAGUAUAAAGAGAAUAGAAUGCAACUCA